rnacentral:rRNA from 1 species
AUUGAACGCUGGCGGCAUGCCUUACACAUGCAAGUCGAACGGUAACAGGUUAAGCUGACGAGUGGCGAACGGGUGAGUAAUGUAUCGGAACGUGCCCAGUCGUGGGGGAUAACUGCUCGAAAGAGCAGCUAAUACCGCAUACGACCUGAGGGUGAAAGCGGGGGAUCGCAAGACCUCGCGCGAUUGGAGCGGCCGAUAUCAGAUUAGGUAGUUGGUGGGGUAAAGGCCUACCAAGCCUACGAUCUGUAGCUGGUCUGAGAGGACGACCAGCCACACUGGGACUGAGACACGGCCCAGACUCCUACGGGAGGCAGCAGUGGGGAAUUUUGGACAAUGGACGCAAGUCUGAUCCAGCCAUGCCGCGUGCGGGAAGAAGGCCUUCGGGUUGUAAACCGCUUUUGUCAGGGAAGAAAAGGGUGUUUCUAAUAAAGACGCCUCAUGACGGUACCUGAAGAAUAAGCACCGGCUAACUACGUGCCAGCAGCCGCAGUAAGAC